rnacentral:rRNA from 1 species
UACGAAGGGGGCUAGCGUUGCUCGGAAUCACUGGGCGUAAAGGGCGCGUAGGCGGCGUUUUAAGUCGGGGGUGAAAGCCUGUGGCUCAACCACAGAAUGGCCUUCGAUACUGGGACGCUUGAGUAUGGUAGAGGUUGGUGGAACUGCGAGUGUAGAGGUGAAAUUCGUAGAUAUUCGCAAGAACACCGGUGGCGAAGGCGGCCAACUGGACCAUUACUGACGCUGAGGCGCGAAAGCGUGGGGAGCGAAUGGG